UGCCGAGCCUCGCACACACCACUUCACUCUCCACUCCGAGGCUCAGGGAGCAAGUGCCUGGCAUGGGGGGGAAAAGUUGGCUUUUUUUCCUUCUUUCAUCUUUUGCGCCCUUCUCUCUCCCCAAAAGGGAAGAUAUGUUGAAACUAUUUUAGACCCAAUCAAGCAAGAAUCACCGUGUGGAAUCGAGCGGCAGUUUUAAAUGUGCUAAAGAGAGGGAUGAUCUGGGGGAAAAAAAUUUUUUGUCUUUUUUUUUGAGACGCGGAAAGGAGCCUGUUUGCGUACUGCGGCCGCCCUGUGACUCUGGAUCUUGUCUUCUGGCCGGCGCCUCGAUUCCUGCCCAAUUGGAUUCGGGGGCACCACUGCUUAGCGCAGGGAAAACAAAUGAGUCUACAAAGAAACAUAAAAUGAAUAGACAAUCGAACCAACUAAAGACCGGGGGCAGCAGCACGCCAGCAAGACGGCAUCUUCUUCUCCCCAGCCUAGAAGCCCUGUGAAAAUCGAGGAUCUUCCCCCUAAAACACACACACACAAGAUAUGUGCAAUCAAGCUGCCACCGCUUGGUUAAAAGCUCAUGGUGCCUAACCCAAAAGGAUCAGAAGCAGGUCCUUGAAUCAGCUGUCACCUCUAUAGAAUGGGAUGGUUUUUUUUUUCUUCCUCCUUAACCUGCGCUGGAAAUUGCCGUUGGCUUUAUACAUCUCUAUAGAGAGAGGCUAAAGAGUGUUGCGUGAGAAUGAAGCAAUUUACAAUGCAAAUAGAGGCCUCCGAAGGGACGAAUGCUGCUGCUCACUCUUAACCGCUGGCUGCACCUUAAUAGCUGGUUUUAUUUUCUGAUAUUAAUAGAUGAAUUGUUGGCUAACGCUGCCGGAGAUUACUUGCUGAAAGGAAAAUAAAAGUUCGGAGUAAACUUUGAAAGCAACAGAUCCCGUUUGGAUAUUUUAGCCGCACACGCAAACAGAAACCAGGUCACAUUUACAUAAAAGGAGGAAUCUUAAGCGCGGCCAGUGUCCUAGAGGACUACUCUUCGGUACUGCCAGAAACAACGGGAUCCGGAUUCUGGUCAGAGGAGAACAGAGACGUGUGAGGGAAGCGAGUUGUUAUCUUUGGUUAUCUAGCUGUAUGAGUGUAUUGGUCUUCAUAAAGCUAGAUAACCGAAAGUAAAAACUCCUUCAAGAUCGCCGGGGAGCGUGUGAGAAUGAGACUACAACCAAGAGACAGUAAAAACCAGAAAGGUCAGGAAUACUUAUUGAAUCUAACUUUGUUUUUGUUUUUGUUUUCCUUAUGAUUAAAGGUGGUGUUAGAGGAAAUUAAGUGACAUACAUAUGCCAAAAUACAAAGAUACGAAAUACUUGGAGAGGGGUUGCUACAGCUGCAAAGGAGAAUUGUAUACUGCUAAUGAGUAAAGAGGCAUGUGAAGUUCAUCUUCCUCUAAGGCAAAAGUUUAAAUAUGAGGGUUAUUUUUCUUAGAAAGCUGUUGUAGAGAUGACUGGUACCUAGUUUAAAAAAUGAUUCCAUAAUAUGUAGGCUUAGGCUGUUUUGAGAUCCCUCCCCUGAGAAAAUUUAAGAUAAUGCUUGGAAACUACAUAUAUUUGGGGUGUAUGUCAAAUUAUGUGAAAUUAGACUUUCAGAAAAGUUUAUACUGGAAGGUUAAUAAUUCGUAUCUACUGAGGACAUAGAGCUAGCAGGGGAAAUGCAAAAACAAAACAAAACAAAAAGCAAAGGCUGAUUUUUAUUCUUCUAUUCAAAAUACAAGGACAGAUGCUUCUCUGUUCCAAGAGGGUUUCCUUGAGGAAGCUACUGAAGCAGAAAGACAUGAUGGAGACGAGAUCGCCUCCCCUCUUGUCAAAGUGUUAAAAAAAUGUUCUGUCUUACUCUGCGCCUAGCAUUGGAAAUGAAAGUGACAUUUACGCCACAACCCACGUGUGCGCCUCCUCUCUUUUUGUUUAAGGAUGAUCAGGUCUAUCCAGGAAACAGCUCUGGCAUCCCAAACUGAAAUAAUUAGGACGUAUAUAGACCUGACAAAAAUGGAAAGGGGGUGGGGAAUCUGAGGGUCUGUCUUGCCUAAUUGAUUCCGCUAAACGGAAUGCAGGAGAUGUGAACGGCAGGACGCUCCGAUUCCCACGCUCGAGGGCAAGUGGUAAAGCGGGCCGGCAGCCUAUGACAGACAGCCCUGUUGGGGGGUGGGAGUAUGAAAAAAACAUCAAGUGCACACACCAUACUCAUCUCCAUCGCUUAAGAAAGUAGAGGCAUUUCCCACCCACAGCCAUCUGCAGCCUCCCAAAUGAGAGCACCAACUGGUCUAUAGCUGCUGCACACUGUCUGUUUCUGUUAAUUUUAUAACCGCUGUUUAAUCUGGCCACAGUUAAGUUUGGCUCCCUUCUUUGGUUGCGAUUUUCAGUAUUUAAGGAAAGCUGCUAAAAAGCAGUUCGAAGAAAGUCCCAUUACUGCCUACUCCUCAUGUCAAAUUCUCAGUCCAUACUUUUGGCCUGUGACCACCUUUUAGCUUUUGUUUUGGGUGAGUUAUAAUUAAAAAUGUAGAUUUCUGUAUAACAGUCAUUACCAUCACUUCAUCAAGCUGUUUACCUCUUAACAUAAUAUAUCUAGGAACUUGGCCUAAUUAUGCUAGUAGACACACCGAAGUAAAACUCUAAAUUCAUCAAUCUAUAGAAAGUUGAUUACAGUAACAAUAUGAUAAAAGGUUUUGAUAUAGUCCCAGCUAGAUGUGUUCUAAACAGCCAUUUUUAUUUAAUCUAGAAGUGACUAUGCUUAGCAGAAACUUUGGCUCUUUAAAGGUCCCUAUAGUAAGCUUUUCAUAAAAGUCCUCACAUUUUCCCACGUGUCACCAAGCAAACAUUUGUACAGGCAUUUAAACAAAGGCAAACAUUGCAGUAGGAAAAUGUCCAAAAUGGCCUGUUACCUUCCAUGAGGCCUAGAUUACUGACGAUCCCAAAUCCUAAAUACGCAGUUUUUCUACAAAAGCAUUACUUCCGUUUGUAGCCUCAUCUCUUUUUAAGACUUCAGACUGGAGAAGCCUGUAAAACCACUGAUAGUUUCAGUUAGAAACUCUGAGAGACUUUAUUAACGUAAAUCCUCAAUUUGGCUGCUGAACACGUGCCAAAGUUUUACUACUGUAGUGACCGUUGAGAAGACCCUUGUUUAUUUACAUUUGAAGCACUGUUUGUGCAAACAACCUUUCAUUGUUAAGUGCCUGUAUUCCUUUCAUUUACUUCAUGUCCAGGGGUGCUAUUUACCUAGACCCAUUGUCUACUACAAUUAACAUUUACAUUACAAAGUGUGUGGUUUUCUUUCUCAAGGAGGUUCAAUUAAGGCAAUAAGAUGUUUGCUGGGGAAACCUAUUGUUUACUGAAAGCACUCAAUGGAGUCAAAUUACUGAAGCUUUUGCCUACAUCUUGGUCUUUUAUGUAAAUAUGUUAAAAAUAACAUCUAAGGAAAAUAAAUAAUAUUAUAAUUAUGUGUUUGCCAUUGUCACAUCAACUUGCUUUGUAUCAUACUAAUGUUACAUGACUUAUCGAUCAAUAAAAAUGCAUUUCAAUGUUA